UGGGGAAUUUUGGACAAUGGGCGAAAGCCUGAUCCAGCAAUGCCGCGUGUGUGAAGAAGGCCUUCGGGUUGUAAAGCACUUUUGUCCGGAAAGAAAUCCUUGGCUCUAAUACAGUCGGGGGAUGACGGUACCGGAAGAAUAAGCACCGGCUAACUACGUGCCAGCAGCCGCGGUAAUACGUAGGGUGCAAGCGUUAAUCGGAAUUACUGGGCGUAAAGCGUGCGCAGGCGGUUUGCUAAGACCGAUGUGAAAUCCCCGGGCUCAACCUGGGAACUGCAUUGGUGACUGGCAGGCUAGAGUAUGGCAGAGGGGGGUAGAAUUCCACGUGUAGCAGUGAAAUGCGUAGAGAUGUGGAGGAAUACCGAUGGCGAAGGCAGCCCCCUGGGCCAAUACUGACGCUCAUGCACGAAAGCGUGGGGAGCAAACAGGAUUAGAUACCCUGGUAGUCCACGCCCUAAACGAUGUCAACUAGUUGUUGGGGAUUCAUUUCCUUAGUAACGUAGCUAACGCGUGAAGUCGACCGCCUGGGGAGUACGGUCGCAAGAUUAAAACUCAAAUGAAUUGACGGGG
rnacentral:rRNA from 1 species